GCCUUUGUGGUGUAAUGGUUAACACACUCGGCCUGUAUUCGAGAGUUCCGAAGUUCGAGUCCCGGUAACGGCA
rnacentral:tRNA from 1 species